CGUUAAGCUUCGGACGUAGAGAUCCUUGGCUUUUCCCAGGGCUCGGAUUGGGGAAGUGAUUAUCCGGACGAAUAUGUUGUGAUUCUGUCCGGAUUUGGAUCUACUCAUGGCUGGCUGAGAAUCUGAGGAAAUUUGUGAGAGUGAAAAGCGGCAGAGAACAGAGAUGAGAUUGGGGAAAGUUGUAAAAGAAGAUGAGGAUUAAUGAAUUGGGUGUGUCAUUUAUGAAGAAAUUAAUUAUUAGUUAAAGAGAUA
rnacentral:lncRNA from 1 species